CGGACCGGCGCACGGGUGCGUAACGCGUAUGCAACCUACCUAUCAGGAGGGGGAUAACCCGGCGAAAGUCGGACUAAUACCGCAUGAAGCAGGGGCCCCGCAUGGGGAUAUUUGCUAAAGAUUCAUCGCUGAUAGAUAGGCAUGCGUUCCAUUAGGCAGUUGGCGGGGUAACGGCCCACCAAACCGACGAUGGAUAGGGGUUCUGAGAGGAAGGUCCCCCACAUUGGUACUGAGACACGGACCAAACUCCUACGGGAGGCAGCAG
rnacentral:rRNA from 1 species